rnacentral:lncRNA from 1 species
AUUAAAGCAACGUUAAAACACCAGAAAAUCUGUUACCUUUAAUGUUUGUUAUGUUUAAAAUACUAGAAAAUGUGUCAUGUUUAAUGCAAAUGGACACCUGUGUCGUAGUCGCUUGGUAUUUAUUCACUGCUUUGACGAAUCUAACACUGACGGAUAAGUGGAUUUUUAAAGGAAAUGACUACUCAUGCAGAAGACUCCAGCCCUACCUUUAUGCUUCUCAACGGCUUUUCUGGAAAACAUCCAGCUGUGGCGUGUGUGCUCUCCAGGAGGCGUCUUGUGAGGUAAUGGAAAGAGUGAGGGUGUACUCGUCUGAGUCUGACGUUUGUAGCAGCUCCGAUAUAUAUUAAAAGGAAGUUCCCAGG